AAGUCUUACUCCUCCGUUGACUUAAUUUGCCGGCACGCCAUCUUGCCGAGAUGGCGUGUUGGCAAAUUAGGACGACGGCACUGCACGAUCUAACGCUAGUUACAACCUGCCACAUGUAUAUUUACUUUAUGAUAUAUACGCGUCGUUUGCUAUAUGUGAU